UAUGUGUCGGGGUGUCUCGGCAGCUCCGGGGGAGCAUCUCCUGUUGUGUCUUCUGCUAUCUUUGUGAACUGGAUACCGGCCUAUUGUCUGCUGGAAGACGCCAUCAUGGGAGCGUGGCCUUUGUUCAGAUAGGACUGUAAAGCACCGGACACUGCUUUAGUUACAGCUCUGCAGUCUACUUUUUGGCAUCCAGGCUUGAUUGCUGUUAUUGCAUCUCCUCAUCUCACUUUUUUUUUGCAGGACACCUACGGAUAGAAGAGAAGAG